rnacentral:ncRNA from 1 species
UUUGUAGCACAAAAAAUAACCCAGGCAAAUGGAUCGUGUUGGCUAGGUGUACUGGUUUUUUGUAAUAUUCUAUUUUAAAUAGACAAAAUAACAGUUUCCGCAGCUGUAGAUGGAUGCUUUGGUAGUAUAACCGGAGGUUAUUGUUUCAGAUAGAACCUAUCUAUAUGAAGAUGCUCUACACGCCAAAAAAUAUGGGCGCAUCUUUACUUGCCUUAAACACACCGCUCGUCACGCGAGUUAAAACAUUAUAGCGAAUAACGGUAGAGCGUGGAAAGAUUCCCGUGAGGAUAUAAAUGAAAUAGAAAUUCUUGAAAGAGAUAACUCAACAUGAUAUAAAAACUAGGGUAAACGGCGGCUGUAAUCUGACGGUCCAAAGGUAGCAAAAUUCCUUGUCGGGUAUAUUCCGUCCUGCAUGAAUGGUGUAACGACUUUCCUAAUGUCUCUAAUGUAAGACUUUUUUAAAUAGAAAAAUCCUUGAAUAUGAGGAACACUAUGGCCCGACGGUAAGACCCUGAGCACCUUUACUUCCCUUU